rnacentral:rRNA from 1 species
AUGAACGCUGGCGGCGUGCCUAAUACAUGCAAGUCGAACGGACGAGAUAGCGAUAUUUUGUUAGUGGCGAACGGGUGAGUAACACAUGGGUGACCUGCCCCGAAGUGGGGGAUAGCAGUUCGAAAGGACUGAUAAUACCGCGUAAGCUUAUGGUAGUUAGAGCGUCAUAAGUAAAGGUGAGAAUCGCUUCGGGAGGGGCCCGUGACCCAUCAGCUAGUUGGUAAGGUAACGGCUUACCAAGGCGAAGACGGGUAGGGGGCCUGAGAGGGUGGCCCCCCACAAUGGAACUGAAUCACGGUCCAUACACCUACGGGUGGCAGCAGUAGGGAAUAUUGCCCAAUGGACGAAAGUCUGAGGCAGCAACGCCGCGUGCACGAUGAAGGCCUUCGGGUUGUAAAGUGCUUUUGGCGGGGAAGAGGAAGGACAGUACCCGCAGAAUAAGCUUCGGCUAACUACGU